rnacentral:rRNA from 1 species
CCCCGAGGAAAAGAAAUCAACCGAGAUUCCCCCAGUAGCGGCGAGCGAACGGGGAGCAGCCCAGAGUCUGAAUCAGCUUGUGUGUUAGUGGAACGGUCUGGAAAGUCCGACGGUACAGGGUGAUAGUCCCGUACACCAAAAUGCACAGGCUGUGAACUCGAAGAGUAGGGCGGGACACGUGGUAUCCUGUCUGAAUAUGGGGGGACCAUCCUCCAAGGCUAAAUACUCCUGACUGACCGAUAGUGAACCAGUACCGUGAGGGAAAGGCGAAAAGAACCCCGGCGAGGGGAGUGAAAAAGAACCUGAAACCGUGUACGUACAAGCAGUGGGAGCACCUUCGGGUGUGACUGCGUACCUUUUGUAUAAUGGGUCAGCGACUUAUAUUCUGUAGCAAGGUUAACCGUAUAGGGGAGCCGCAGGGAAACCGAGUCUUAACUGGGCGUUAAGUUGCAGGGUAUAGACCCGAAACCCGGUGAUCUAGCCAUGGGCAGGUUGAAGGUUGGGUAACACUAACUGGAGGACCGAACCGACUAAUGUUGAAAAAUUAGCGGAUGACUUGUGGCUGGGGGUGAAAGGCCAAUCAAACCGGGAGAUAGCUGGUUCUCCCCGAAAGCU